UACGAAGGGGGCUAGCGUUGCUCGGAAUCACUGGGCGUAAAGCGCACGUAGGCGGACUCUUAAGUCGGGGGGUGAAAGCCUGUGGCUCAACCACAGAAUUGCCUUCGAUACUGUAGAGCUUGAGACCGGAAGAGGUAAGUGGAACUGCGAGUGUAGAGGUGAAAUUCGUAGAUAUUCGCAAGAACACCAGUGGCGAAGGCGGCUACCUGGACGGAUACUGACGCUGAGACGCGAAAGCGUGGGUAGCAAACAGG
rnacentral:rRNA from 1 species